UGACAUGUAGAGCCCUUAGCCAUAAACUCUGCAACAUCUUUCUUCAUCAUAAUCCAACAAUAGAUCUCUCACAAGUCGCGGUACAUCUUAGUGGCCCCUGGAUAAAUAGAGUAGUACAUACCAUGCGCUUCUUCAAGAAUUUUCUACCUUAAGUCAUCUACACCUAGAACACAGAGACGACCCUGAAUAUGCAAUACGCAAUCUCCUCCUUGGGAAAAACUUCUACUUUCUGAUCU
rnacentral:lncRNA from 1 species